GUAACAUUUCUAGCUUGCUAGAAGAUGACGAGUGGCGGACGGGUGAGUAAUGCUUGGGAACUUGCCUAGCGAGGGGGAUAACAGUUGGAAACGACUGCUAAUACCGCAUAAUGUCUUCGGACCAAACGGGGCUUCGGCUCCGGCGCAAAGAGAGGCCCAAGUGAGAUUAGCUAGUUGGUAAGGUAACGGCUUACCAAGGCGACGAUCUCUAGCUGUUCUGAGAGGAAGAUCAGCCACACUGGGACUGAGACACGGCCCAGACUCCUACGGGAGGCAGCAGUGGGGAAUAUUGCACAAUGGGGGAAACCCUGAUGCAGCCAUGCCGCGUGUGUGAAGAAGGCCUUCGGGUUGUAAAGCACUUUCAGUUGUGAGGAAAAGUUAGUAGUUAAUACCUGCUAGCCGUGACGUUAACAACAGAAGAAGCACCGGCUAACUCCGUGCCAGCAGCCGCGGUAAUACGGAGGGUGCGAGCGUUAAUCGGAAUUACUGGGCGUAAAGCGCACGCAGGCGGUUUGUUAAGCUAGAUGUGAAAGCCCCGGGCUCAACCUGGGAUGGUCAUUUAGAACUGGCGGACUAGAGUCUUGGAGAGGGGAGUGGAAUUCCAGGUGUAGCGGUGAAAUGCGUAGAUAUCUGGAGGAACAUCAGUGGCGAAGGCGACUCCCUGGCCAAA
rnacentral:rRNA from 1 species